UUUUGUUUCUAUACAGGACACUGUCUUGGAGCUUGAAUUUCAAGGUGUCAAAAAGAAAUUUACCAUGCUUCAGACUUGGCCUGUACGUACACCUAGGCCUGUUGCAUCAAAGCUUGCUGCUGAUACUCCUCUUCUUACUGGACAGCGUGUUCUUGAUGCUCUUUUCCCCUCGGUGCUUGGUGGGACAUGUGCCAUUCCUGGUGCAUUCGGCUGUGGGAAAACUGUUAUUAGCCAAGCUC